GGGAAUCUACCGUGCCCUGCGGAAUAGCUCCGGGAAACUGGAAUUAAUACCGCAUACGCCCUACGGGGGAAAGAUUUAUCGGGGUAUGAUGAGCCCGCGUUGGAUUAGCUAGUUGGUGGGGUAAAGGCCCACCAAGGCGACGAUCCAUAGCUGGUCUGAGAGGAUGAUCAGCCACAUUGGGACUGAGACACGGCCCAAACUCCUACGGGAGGCAGCAGUGGGGAAUAUUGGACAAUGGGCGCAAGCCUGAUCCAGCCAUGCCGCGUGAGUGAUGAAGGCCUUAGGGUUGUAAAGCUCUUUCACCGGAGAAGAUAAUGACGGUAUCCGGAGAAGAAGCCCCGGCUAACUUCGUGCCAGCAGCCGCGGUAAUACGAAGGGGGCUAGCGUUGUUCGGAAUUACUGGGCGUAAAGCGCACGUAGGCGGAUAUUUAAGUCAGGGGUGAAAUCCCAGAGCUCAACUCUGGAACUGCCUUUGAUACUGGGUAUCUUGAGUAUGGAAGAGGUAAGUGGAAUUGCGAGU
rnacentral:rRNA from 1 species